AGCUCACAGUAUGUAAGUCGCUCUGGAUAAGAGCGUCUGCUAAAUUACGUAAA
rfam:Salmo salar isolate Sally breed double haploid chromosome ssa24, whole genome shotgun sequence.